UAAACGAUGAGUACUAAGUGUUGGGAGUCAAAUCUCAGUGCUGCAGUUAACGCAAUAAGUACUCCGCCUGAGUAGUACGUUCGCAAGAAUGAAACUCAAAGGAAUUGACGGGGGCCCGCACAAGCGGUGGAGCAUGUGGUUUAAUUCGAAGCAACGCGAAGAACCUUACCAAGUCUUGACAUCCCCCUGACCGGCACGUAACGGUGCCCUUCCUUCGGGACAGGGGAGACAGGUGGUGCAUGGUUGUCGUCAGCUCGUGUCGUGAGAUGUUGGGUUAAGUCCCGCAACGAGCGCAACCCUUAUCCUUAGUAGCCAGCACGUCGUGGUGGGCACUCUAGGGAGACUGCCAGGGAUAACCUGGAGGAAGGUGGGGAUGACGUCAAAUCAUCAUGCCCCUUAUGACCUGGGCUACACACGUGCUACAAUGGACAGAGCAGAGGGAAGCGAAGCCGCGAGGUGGAGCGAAACCCAGAAAACUGUUCUCAGUUCGGACUGCAGUCUGCAACUCGACUGCACGAAGUUGGAAUCGCUAGUAAUCGCGAAUCAGCAUGUCGCGGUGAAUACGUUCUCGGGCCUUGUACACACCGCCCGNNNNNNNNNNNNNNNNNNNNNNNNNNCGGUAACACCCGAAGCCGGUGGCCUAACCGCAAGGAAGGAGCUGUCUAAGGUGGGACUGAUGAUUGGGGUGAAGUCGUAACAAGGUAUCCCUACGGGAACGUGGGGAUGGAUCACCUCCUUUCUAGGGA
rnacentral:rRNA from 1 species